GAAAUGCGAUAAGUAAUGUGAAUUGCAGAAUUCAGUGAAUCAUCGAAUCUUUGAACGCACAUUGCGCCCGCCAGCACUCUGGCGGGCAUGCCUGUUCGAGCGUCAUUUCAACCCUCAAGCCCCCGGGCUUGUGUUGGGGACCUGCGGCUGCCCGCAGGCCCUGAAAACCAGUGGCGGGCUCGCUGUCACACCGAGCGUAGUAGCAAUCACCUCGCUCAGGGCGUGCUGCGGGUUCCGGCCGUUAAACAGCCUUACAAAACCCAAGGUUGACCUCGGAUCAGGUAGGAAGACCCGCUGAACUUAAGC
rnacentral:misc_RNA from 1 species